GGAGUCUGGGCCGUGUCUCAGUCCCAAUGUGGCCGUUCAUCCUCUCAGACCGGCUACCGAUCGUCGCCUUGGUAGGCCGUUACCCCACCAACCAGCUAAUCGGACGCAGGCCCAUCCCCCGGCGAUAGCUUGUAAACAGAGGCCAUCUUUCAAAUCCGUACCAUGCGGCACAGACUUCGUAUCCGGUAUUAGCACCCCUUUCGGAGUGUUGUCCCCCGGCCGGAGGGCAGGUUGCCUACGCGUUACUCACCCGUUCGCCACUAGGAUUCUGCCGAAACAAAAUCCCCGUUCGACUUGCAUGUGUUAAGCCUGUAGCUAGCGUUCAUC
rnacentral:rRNA from 1 species